rnacentral:rRNA from 1 species
UACAGAGGUCUCGAGCGUUGUUCGGAUUCAUUGGGCGUAAAGGGCGCGUAGGCGGCGGGGUAAGUCUGGUGUGAAAUCUCGGAGCUCAACUCCGAAAUUGCACUGGAUACUGCUCUGCUAGAGGGCUGGAGAGGAGAUCGGAAUUCACGGUGUAGCAGUGAAAUGCGUAGAUAUCGGGAGGAACACCAGUGGCGAAGGCGGCACUCUGGGACGUGACUGACGCUGAGACGCGAAAGCGUGGGGAGCAAACAGG